rnacentral:misc_RNA from 1 species
UACGGAGGGUGCAAGCGUUAUCCGGAUUCACUGGGCUUAAAGGGUGCGUAGGCGGACAGGUAAGUCAGUGGUGAAAUCCCCGAGCUUAACUCGGGAACUGCCGUUGAUACUACCUAUCUUGAAUAUCGUGGAGGUGAGCGGAAUAUGUCAUGUAGCGGUGAAAUGCUUAGAUAUGACAUAGAACACCAAUUGCGAAGGCAGCUCACUACGCGGUUAUUGACGCUGAGGCACGAAAGCGUGGGGGGCAAACUGG